CACAAAGAGAAGCUAAAACGAAAAUUCCCUCGCCCCAUCCACCAGCAGCGACGGGGCUCGGCGUGAGGGGGGUAAUGGCUGAAAAACUGUCUGCCUACGGAGAAAGCUGUGUGUGGUGGGCCACGACUGUGAAAAGCUAAGGACCAGGGAGGCACGGAGGAGCUGGCAAGACAUUUAGCAAGAGCAAAAUGUGUGGAGGAGAAAGAAGAUGUGGACUUCCAAGCAGCUGAGAAAGGGCUAGCCCAGAACACGGAAUGGACUGACCGCAGAGAAGCAUCAAGGGUGAGGGACUUGGCAGCUGGACUCCAGGCCCCUGUGCAUCCCCCUGCGCUGCUCCCUGCAAAUAGGCAGACACGUCAUACUUGUGCACGUGGUCCAGCAGGGUUUCUCAUACUUGGAAAGCCUGGCUUCAUCCUCUCUCUGAAGUCCUGUAAAACCAAGAGGCAGAAUUGCCCGUCUCCUCCAAGGACAGUGAAGGCAGAACAUCACAACCCAGGCUUCCCAGGACCCGACGCUGUGUUAACACGGCCAGAGACAUCGCAUCUGAGCAGAGCAGACAAGAACAUCAGAGUCUAUUCGCACAGCCGGCCAAGAGUGGCUCAGAGCACAAGUGCACGCGUGGUCUUGUACUUAGGGCCCCCUCCUCACAAACACACCUUUCACAGGCGCUCGUGCUACCGACAGGUCCUCCCCCCAGUCUGUCAGGCCUACGGGGUUGCCAUUAGGUCGGUUUCCUCGGAGGAGGAAGGUGGGAGGUAAGGAGGCCCACAUUCCUGAGGAUGAAAUCACCAAAUGGAGCCACUCGCCCUCUCUCUCAGCCCUACAGUUUCAACAGAAAGCCCGAGGCGGUGGGGACGUUGGCAGGCACGGAGGGGUAGAGGUGCACCCCUCCGACUCCCUGGGAGAACCAGGUCAGCGGGUCUGGAAGUGUGAGCCAAGAACAGCUCAUAUGGGAACAGUCUGGCACUCGAGCUUAAAAACGCUCAUUCCUGGACUCCUUACCACUGAAUCUGAAUCUUUGGGGGAACUGGCAUUUUUUAGCAAACUAUUCCGAGUGAUUCUUAUGUCCAGUAGUGUUAAAAACCACAUGAGCUCUUUGAAGGCAAAGACCUCCCUCAAUGCCUGGCAAAUAGCAGACACUCAGUAAAAAUGUGUCCAGAGAACAGCUGCCUAAAUGAAGGUGUGUGACAGCAGAAGUGCAUCCCCAGGGACCCAGGAAGGAGCAGAAGUGGCCGGAGUGAGCCGGGGCUUAUCAGACCUGGAAACGGGCUUGAAGGCUUUCUGCAGGAUCAACGUUCUCCUAUGAUGGCACAGAGCCCUCCG
rnacentral:lncRNA from 1 species